rnacentral:rRNA from 1 species
AGCUCCAAUCGCGUAUAUUAAAGUUGUUGCAGUUCAAAAGCUCGUAGUUGGAUUUCUGGCGAUCGUGGCCGGUCCGCCCUCGGGUGUGCACUCGUGCUCCGUCGCCAUCUUCGAUGCGAACCUCUCUGGCAUUAGGUUGUUGGGGUGGCUAGCACCGUCGUUUACUGUGAAAAAAUUAGAGUGUUUAAAGCAGGCUCUGCUUGAAUACAUUAGCAUGGAAUAAUAAGAUAAGACUAAGGUCUUACUUGUUGGUUCAGAGAUCUUAGUAAUGAUUAAUAGGGAUAGUUGGGGGUAUUCGUAUUCAAUUGUCAGAGGUGAAAUUCUUGGAUUUAUGGAAGACGAACUUCUGCGAAAGCAUUUACAAAGGAGGUUU